AUCCGCUUUUAUGCACGCCACGAAGUCUUCCAACUCAAAGGGGCUCAAGAACAAUAAAGUACUAAACGAUCUCAAAAAUGAAUAGACAGAGAAGACAUCAAGCACAGGAAUACCAUCUAAAUCUAAACUACUCGAAGUAGGUGGCAAAUCCAUCUUUUGUGGAAGAUUGUCAUGUUUAUCAGACUCCUCGUGACCUGAUACUAUAUGUAGGAGGCAAAUCCAUCUUUUGCGGAAGAUUGUCAUGUUUAUCAGACUCUUCAUGACCUGAUACUAUAAUUUUCUCCUCUGAAACCACACUAACUGCAGGAGACAACAGUGGAUCCCUCGCUACAUCAGACACUACUGCACAAU
rnacentral:lncRNA from 1 species